rnacentral:rRNA from 1 species
UCAUGGCUCAGGACGAACGCUGGCGGCGUGCUUCAUACAUGCAAGUCGAACGAUAAGGUCCUUCGGGAAUACAUAAGUGGCGGACGGGUGAGUAAUAUGUAGAGAAUCUGCCCUGAAGAGGGGGACAACAGAGGGAAACUUCUGCUAAUACCCCAUAUGCGCGUAGUUGGGAUACUAUUCGUGAAAGAUUUAUCGCUUCAGGAUGAGUCUGCAUCUGAUUAGCUAGUUGGGGGUGUAAUGGACCACCAAGGCGACGAUCAGUAGCUGGUUUGAGAGGAUGAUCAGCCACAAUGGGACUGAGACACGGCCCAUACUCCUACGGGAGGCAGCAGUAGGGAAUUUUGCGCAAUGGGCGAAAGCCUGACGCAGCAACGCCCGCGUGAUCGCAGACGGCCUUCGGGUUGUAAAGAUCUGUCAGCAGGGACGAACAAUGACUGUACCUGCAGAGGAAGCACCGGCUAACUCCGUGCCAGCCGCAGC